rnacentral:rRNA from 1 species
UCGGAAUUACUGGGCGUAAAGCGCACGCAGGCGGUCUAUUAAGUCAGUGGUGAAAGCCCGGGGCUCAACUCCGGAACUGCCAUUGAUACUGAUAGACUUGAGUUUGGGAGAGGUAGGCGGAAUACAGCAUGUAGCGGUGAAAUGCAUAGAUAUUACAUAGAAUACCAAUUGCGAAGGCAGAUUACUAAUAAUCAACUGACACUGAUGGACGAAAGCGUGGGUAGCGAACAGGAUUAGAUACCCUGGUAGUCCACGCCGUAAACGAUGGUUACUAGCUGUUUGGACCUUGUGUCUGAGUGGCUAAGCGAAAGUGAUAAGUAACCCACCUGGGGAGUACGUUCGCAAGAAUGAAACUCAAAGGAAUUGACGGGGGCCCGCACAAGCGGUGGAGCAUGUGGUUUAAUUCGAUGAUACGCGAGGAACCUUACCAGGGCUUAAAUGUAAGUUGCAUUAGUUAGAGAUAGCUAUUUCUUCGGACCACUUACAAGGUGCUGCAUGGUU